rnacentral:rRNA from 1 species
UACGUAGGGAGCAAGCGUUGUCCGGAAUCAUUGGGCGUAAAGCGCGCGUAGGUGGCCCAGUAAGUCCGUUCUGAAAGUCACAGGCUCAACCUGUGAAAGCGGAUGGAUACUGCUGGGCUAGAGUCCGGAAGAGGCGAGUGGAAUUCCUGGUGUAGCGGUGGAAUGCGCAGAUAUCAGGAGGAACACCAACGGCGAAGGCAGCUCGCUGGGACGGUACUGACACUAAGGCGCGAAAGCGUGGGGAGCGAACGGG